rnacentral:lncRNA from 1 species
UUGAUGGUUGUAUGGCCCUUCCUAUCCGAUAUUGUAGUUGCCCCCACUCUAAUAUUUUUUUUUUGAGAUUCAAGCUUAUUUCCUUGAGGAUCACAACCCGAAUCUUAGGAUAGUCUACUUUCUGAUAGUAUAGGAAUAGCGGGGUUGAAAAUCGGACUUCUGCUAUAGUUGGAGUGUGAAAAUUGGACUUUUCACAUAUUAUUAUUAGUAUAUAUACUCAAUAACAUCGCAUGUUGACAUGCGCGUUAUUGUAGAUGACUAAAGAAGGGAUAUCUAUAUGCAUUUCUUUACAUGUUUCCGGAAAACUUUAGAUUGGAUAAGCAUUUCAACCCUACGUUCUCCUAGAUGUUGGCACACAUGAAAGUGGCAAAACAGUUGUCGGCGACCAAAUUGCCCCUCCAAUAUCAUCAAAGUUGGUCCUCACAUUUGAUGUUGAUAGACAUGGUGUCAAUAUCUUGAGUCAGGUAACACUGACUUUCAUCUACAAAUUACAUAUUAAGAUAUCAUAUCCUCAAAAUGAGGAUGACAGUGUGAGAACAAGAAUCCUUGAUGUCUUUGUCAUGACCAUUUCUCUCUAGAGCUUAGAGGCCUAACCCCUUUUCAUGCUGAUGUCGCCUCCGACGCUGGCGAGGACCACUAUUCUCUCCCCCUUCUCUUUCCUCUCUUCUCC